rnacentral:misc_RNA from 1 species
GAAACUCACAACGGUAUGACCGAAAACAUCAGAUCCCCAACUGAAUCACAUAAACACCCAAUCUCGCAGUUCUAAACAAAGUUGGCGAGAAACAAAUAGUCGACAAAUGAAAAUGGUCGAAGCGAAGCUCAUAGAGGCCCCUGGCCACUAAACGAAGAAGAAGACAAUAAAGUGAGCACAUCGGUCACCGAAGCCAUGGAACUCAGAGCUGCUUUCAGAACCUCCUGCGAACAUCCUGG